UGACGCACUAAGCCUCAGCCUACUCUGAUUGUGUCCUUGUUAUCCGUUUUCCUGAACCAGCUUCAUUUACUGACCAUCCCUAAUUGCUUCUUAUACUGACCUUGGCUUGUUUAACUUACCUGCUCUCUUGAAUCCUGACGUUGUCUCCUCUCAGUUUUGCCAUUUAGUUUAUACCUUGACAUGCUGAGAAGGAAGUACACAUGCUUUCUAUAUCCUCCUCUUGACAUCUCAUAAGAGUCCUUAUUAGAGCUGCUAGCUACUAGAGUCCACAUGUAUUCUCAGGAGAAGGUCCAGAAGUGCUAGGUGCUAUGUCCCGAUAUGACAGCUAACCUGAUAAUCAAGAUUGCAUUAUCAUGCCACAAUAAGGGAUACAACACUUACAGUUAGCCCUUAACUUUAUCACUCCCAGGUUUGUGUAAAUGUUUCGUCCAUAAAGCCUCCCUCACCAUCAUUUAUACUCUAGGAAUGAUUAGCAGUUUGCAGAGGAAUACAUGUCUUUUCCAGGAGCCACUGGUCACUCAUUUAUCUUAUCCAAAUGUACUGAAAAUGACAUCUCCCUUCAAACAGGAAAGGAAAUUUCAAUGGUUUAUACCACUCCAAGGGUCGGGGGGGAGAGUGAAUGAGCAUUACAUUAGCGUUCCAGAGAUUGAUAAAGAUUGCUGUUGUCAUUUUCAGUAACUAUUCCACUAGUAAUACCAUCAGGGUCCUGACAAAUACUGGUAAGUAAG